rnacentral:tRNA from 1 species
GCAGAUAUGGCCGAGUGGUUAAGGCGACUGACUCGAGAUCAGUUUCCAUCUUGGAGCGUAGGUUCGAAUCCUACUAUCUGCG